rnacentral:rRNA from 1 species
AUUGAACGCUGGCGGCAGGCCUAACACAUGCAAGUCGAACGGGUGGCGGACGGGUGAGUAAUGUCUGGGCACAUGCCUGAUGGAGGGGGAUGACUACUGGAAACGGUAGCUACUACCGCAUACCAUCAGAUGUGCCCCGAUGGGAUUAGCUUGUUGGUGGGGUAAAGGCUAACCAAGGCGACGAUCCCUAGCUGGUCUGAGAGGAGGACCAGCCACACUGGAACUGAGACACGGCCCGGACUCCUACGUGAGGCAGCAGUGGGGAAUAUUGCACAAUGGGCGAAACCCUGAUGCAGCCAUCCCGCGUGUAUGAAGAAGGCCUUCGGGUUGUAAAGUACUUUCAGCGGGGAUGCGGUACCCGCAGAAGAAGCACCGGCUAACUCCGUGCCAGCAGCCGCGGUAAUAC